CAAUAGCAUAUAUUAACGUUGUUGCAGUUGAAAAGCUCGUAGUUGAACUUUUGGUAGGAGCGACCUGGCCUUGGGCGCAUGCCCUUGUUUGCCGCGUGUCGUGUCUGGCCAUCCUUUUCCGCUUCGGCGGGAAUCUUUUACUGUGAGUAAACUGGAGUGCUCAAAACAAGACGUUUGUUUGGUACAUUAAAGCAUGGAAUAAUAAGAUAGGACCUGGUUACUAUUUUGUUGGUUUGCAUAGCUAGGUAAUGAUUAACAGGGACAGUUGGGGGUAUUCGUAUUUAAUUGUCAGAGGUGAAAUUCUUGGAUUUAUGAAAGACGAACGACUGCGAAAGCAUUUACCAAGGAUGUUUUCAUUAA
rnacentral:rRNA from 1 species